AGCUUCAGCGUGUCCUAGCGUGUUAAACAGCCUCGGGGAGUCCACGUAGCCCCUCUCCAGCACCUUCCCCGUCCUCCUUAUUCCUCCCCACGCCACGGCAGUCGCCGCCGCGACACUGUUCCGCUCGUGUGCAUCGUCGUCUUCCCUCGCUGAUGUCUUCUUCUCUCCCGAGACGUCCCAUCCCCUGUGGAGCGUCAGGUCGGCACCGAGUGCGUCCAAGCCAGCUCACCGCGAGCUCUACUGCGGUGAUAAGGAUGCCACGGCGUCAUGCUCAUCCGCUCGUUGUCGGCCGGCUAUAAAUAGCCACGACCGAGCCCCUCCCCGAGCACCUCGACUCCUCGGCAGACUCCCCUCCUUCCUAGCUCUCUCCUUGUCCAAAGAAUCGAACGUUGGAGCUCUUCUCCCUCCUCUUCGAUAGGGAACGCGGUCGUGAUCCCCUUGGGUCAAUCCGAGCAGCAGCCCCUCCCCUUCCCUAUUAGCCGCCUCAAAUGGAACCCACGAGUCCCCAGGAAGCCGUCGAGCCGCCUAGCUUCUCCGAGGGAUGACCGGAGCAUCGACGCCGACAACGUCCGAUGCGCUCCCCGCUGUGAAGGACGGCGUCGUCAUCCUGGCCAUCGUCGGGCUCCGUGCACCCCCGGGAUGGGUGCGGCUGGCUCCCCUGAGAACGCUAGUAGACUGGACGUCACCGGAGGUGGCCCGAGUCGCCGGAAAGACCGACGGCGUCGGUGGCCCUCCUCUGCUGUGCGUGCAAUGGCGAGAGGUAGAAGAAGGAGAGAGAGGAGAGAGAAAGGGACCCAACAGGUGGGCCCCGACCCCACCUGUCGAUGAGAGAGACACCCGCCAGGGUGGAUAAGUGGAGGUGUAUUUAUAAAAAUACGCUUUCCUUCAGCAGAAAGCGUAUUUCUGGAGAAGGCGCGAGUGGCUGUUCUCUGAGGGACCCGAUGGCAAUUAUUUUAAUUGCAAAUUGGUCCUUCCUCUUCAAAUGCUUAUAUCUUUUUGCUCGGGACUCCAAUUGAGCCCCUUCGAGAGAUAGAGGUAUCCGAUGAUCUUUUCCGCGGACUCUCCGCACCUCUUCCGGGAGUAUUCAUCGACCCCAGGCAAGCCGGCCAUCUAAUAUAUGCCCUCAAGCUUUGCUUUGUGUUAUUUCUGCAUGAUUAAAUUAAUAUGUUUGUGAUUGUAUGGAUAGUAAUGUGAUGUAUGUGACUCUAACGAACCCUUGCUCGCAUUUUCUA